rnacentral:sRNA from 1 species
UUUAUUGAACCUUUCCUGUAUUGAUGUAUUGAUGGGCAUUUAUAGUCCUUCCAACUUUUCACAAAGUAAUUUUCCUUUUUUUUUUUUGAGACAAAGUCUUGCUCUGUCACCUAGGCUCGAGUGCAGUGGCUCGAUCUCGGCUCACUGCAACCUCUGUCACCCGGGUUCAAGUGAUUCUCCUGCCUCAGCUUCUCAAGUAGCUGGGAUUACAGGUGUUUGACCUGGUGAUGCUUUUCAUCAUCUAUAGCACCAAUACUCAGACAAAGAAGUAUAUUGAAAGGGUGCUAAGAAAUAAGAUUCGAUCAGCCUGCAUUCAAGAACAGCUGCUCCAGAGUACAUUCUCUGUUCAUUACUUAGUUCUUAAGGAUAUGUGUUCAUCCAUUCUGUCGCUGGCUCAGAGUUUGCUUCACUCUCUAGACCAGAGUAUAAUUUCAUUUGGGAGUCUCCUAUACAAAUAUGCAUUCAAGUUUUUUGACAUGUACUGCCAGCAGGUAUGUUG